AACGGCAAGCGGGGAGCUUGGGAUCUAGGUCCCGGCAAUAUCUGCUGCAGGCUGCCCCAUGUCCUCAGUUUCCUCGUCUGCAAAAUGGGGGCCAGCGCGCUUUGCAGGGACUUGCAGAGCUGUGAGGGCGAUCGGAAGCGCCCCUCUGCAGCCGGUCCUGCACCACUCAGGCUCAGUUUCCGUUCUCAAACGUCAAGCAGACCCAACCCGUCCGGACGAAGCCCCCUGCCCAUUCACUCGCCUCCCCGCCCCAGACCUGCCUCCUUUUCUUCAGAGAGCGCUUCAUUUUCCGAAAUUAAAUGUCCCUCUGCGUGAGAGCCAGCACCUGGUCCGUCUGGUUCACCCCUCGGCCCCCGGACGCUACCACCGGGCUGGCACGCGAGCACGUGCUCUUCGCUCCUCGACAGCUCCUCUCCCCCAGGCCGAGCGCUCGAUCCGCUUGGGCUCGGAUCCAGUGGCUUCAAGUGCACCGGCGACGCAGGUCAGAGCCAGGAGGGCCACCACGAGGGAGAAACAGUGACAUAACGCUGCAUUCUGGCCUGGAGACGACACCGCGCAUGGGCUCCAUCUGUGGCCCCUGCUUCAGGAGGAGGACACCCGAGGCCUGUUGGCUGACAGGGAGGUCAGACCUGUCCAAAUGCAGGAAUGCUGUCCCCACCCCCGCUCAUUGCACCAGCAGGUCCUAGGGGGCUGGAAGUGGGGGGCUCUCUGGGGAGACUGGAGACUCAUCACGGGGACAGAGGCCACUGAGCCAAGGGAAGGAGUGGCCGUGUAUUUGUCACCAACGCCCCGCUCCCAGGUACAUGCGCUCAUCUGUGCUCUGGUGAUUUGGUCCCGUUAGCCUGUGUGUCCUGAGCUGUUUGGAAGCUUUCUCAGUAGCUGGAAGUUCACAUUCCCAGGACCUUGAUUAGUGAGGUCAGCAGGAAGAGGAAGGCCACUGACCCACGACUGGAAUGUGGGCUAACUGCAGCUGUGUGGCUGGUGGGACCAGAACAGCUGCCGUGGAGACAGUUGAUGGAUCCUCAAAAAUUUGACAUAGACUUGCCACUGGCCCAGCAGUCCACGCCCGGGUAUAUCCAGGAGGACCAGAAACGGGG